rnacentral:rRNA from 1 species
UACGGAGGGUGCGAGCGUUGUCCGGAAUCACUGGGCGUAAAGGGCGCGUAGGCGGCCUGAUAAGUAGGGGGUGAAAUCCUGCGGCUUAACCGCAGGGCUGCCUUCUAAACUGUCAGGCUCGAGCACAGUAGAGGCAGGUGGAAUUCCCGGUGUAGCGGUGGAAUGCGCAGAUAUCAGGAAGAACACCGACGGCGAAGGCAGCUCGCUGGGACGGUACUGACGCUGAGGCGCGAAAGCGUGGGGAGCGAACAGG